GCAGAUGCAUCAGCUUAUAAUCUGAUCGAGUGCUGUUGUUCACAUUGUAAUGGAGCGAGUAUACAGGAUCCUUCUUGUAUAUGUGAUCCACAAAAGUGAGUGCCACAGAAUCUUUGUCUCGUUCAGCUGGAUCACCGGACGUCCCCGAUCGAGAGCGAGGGCAGUGAGUGGAAGAGCCAGGAGGGUGGAACACAGACCGGGAGACUGGCGGACAAGUGGAGAGGGAUCUCGUGGUGUCAGACGAGAAAACAGCUCCUGAAGAUUGACUGACAGCUGGAUUGUCUCGCCACUGUGUGCACAGCAUCUCCCCCUCCAGCCAGCACAUAAAGCAUUUUGGAGAGUAACAUUACCUGACACGGAUCACAAUGUUCAACACCCUCAAGAAGUAGGAGUGUGACACCAACGUGAAGAAUCUAACAGCUCUCUCAGCAAUCCACCUUGUCUACAAGAUCUCUAGGGAUGCAAGUCCGCUGAAGUAUGCACUCCAUUACUUAGUUUGUUAACUUGGUUCAGGGUAAUGGAGACUAGCCGAUUGACCUCUCUGAGCCAGGAGAGGCCUCACCCGUCUUGGCAAGAGUAAGAAACCAAAGAGGUGUUGCUAGCCACAACACAUGACUGCAACAUCGCUCAACCUCCAGAACUCCUUUCUCCCAGCCUUACAUGGAUGCCACACAUAGCAAACAUGUGGCAGGGCUAGGGUUAAGGGCAUAUCAACCUGGCCUUAGGGUCUAUUACAUCCAGUACUACCUAACAGGGAGCAUACACCAAGCA